UAUGUGCCUUUGGACUACAUCGUGGACGCAGCACCAUGCAGUCCACGGGCAUAUACA
rnacentral:pre_miRNA from 1 species